rnacentral:tRNA from 2 species
UGGCUCCAUGGUCAAGCGGUUAAGACGCGACCCUCUCAAGGUCGAAUCACGAGUUCGAUUCUCGUUGGAGUCAU